AACGAACGCUGGCGGCAUGCCUAACACAUGCAAGUCGAACGAAGUCUUCGGACUUAGUGGCGCACGGGUGCGUAACGCGUGGGAAUCUGCCCUUGGGUGCGGAAUAACUUCUCGAAAGGGAUGCUAAUACCGCAUAAUGUCGUAAGACCAAAGAUUUAUCGCCCAAGGAUGAGCCCGCGUAAGAUUAGCUAGUUGGUGGGGUAAAAGCCUACCAAGGCGACGAUCUUUAGCUGGUCUGAGAGGAUGAUCAGCCACACUGGGACUGAGACACGGCCCAGACUCCUACGGGAGGCAGCAGUGGGGAAUAUUGGACAAUGGGCGAAAGCCUGAUCCAGCAAUGCCGCGUGAGUGAUGAAGGCCCUAGGGUUGUAAAGACUCUUUACCAGGAUGAUAAUGACAGUACCU
rnacentral:rRNA from 1 species